rnacentral:rRNA from 1 species
AUUGAACGCUGGCGGCAGGCUUAACACAUGCAAGUCGAGCGGGGGAGGUUGCUUCGGUAACUGACCUAGCGGCGGACGGGUGAGUAAUGCUUAGGAAUCUGCCUAUUAGUGGGGGACAACAUUCCGAAAGGGAUGCUAAUACCGCAUACGCCCUACGGGGGAAAGCAGGGGAUCUUCGGACCUUGCGCUAAUAGAUGAGCCUAAGUCGGAUUAGCUAGUUGGUGGGGUAAAGGCCUACCAAGGCGACGAUCUGUAGCGGGUCUGAGAGGAUGAUCCGCCACACUGGGACUGAGACACGGCCCAGACUCCUACGGGAGGCAGCAGUGGGGAAUAUUGGACAAUGGGCGGAAGCCUGAUCCAGCCAUGCCGCGUGUGUGAAGAAGGCCUUUUGGUUGUAAAGCACUUUAAGCGAGGAGGAGGCUCUUAAGGUUAAUACCCUUGAUGAGUGGACGUUACUCGCAGAAUAAGCACCGGCUAACUCUGUGCCAGCCGCCGCAGUAACAC